rnacentral:misc_RNA from 1 species
UCAGAUAUAUAGGAUUCCUCACAUCAGCAGAAUAUAUGUGCACGAUUUCCCGUGAUGCCAUAAAACCCCGAUGUCGCUCUACAGUGUUUCCAUCUUUCAAUUUUUCCCAGAUUGUAAAGUCAGCUCCACAAGGGAGCCGAUUCUCCAAUUUCAAGGGAGAACUAAUUGAUAGUUUCCAAUCAUAAACCGGGGCAUUUAGCUCUGUAUGUAG